UGGGGAAUUUUGGACAAUGGGCGCAAGCCUGAUCCAGCCAUGCCGCGUGCAGGAUGAAGGCCUUCGGGUUGUAAACUGCUUUUGUACGGAACGAAAAGGUGCCUUCUAAUAAAGGGCGCUCAUGACGGUACCGUAAGAAUAAGCACCGGCUAACUACGUGCCAGCAGCCGCGGUAAUACGUAGGGUGCGAGCGUUAAUCGGAAUUACUGGGCGUAAAGCGUGCGCAGGCGGUUUUGUAAGACAGAUGUGAAAUCCCCGGGCUUAACCUGGGAACUGCGUUUGAGACUGCAAGGCUGGAGUACGGCAGAGGGGGGUGGAAUUCCACGUGUAGCAGUGAAAUGCGUAGAGAUGUGGAGGAACACCGAUGGCGAAGGCAGCCCCCUGGGCCUGUACUGACGCUCAUGCACGAAAGCGUGGGGAGCAAACA
rnacentral:rRNA from 1 species